rnacentral:miRNA from 14 species
UCUCUCUACAUAUAUAUAUAUAUAUAUGUAUGUAUGUAUAUACACACUCUCUAUAUAUAGAUAGAUAUCUAUAUAUAUGUAUAUACACACACACACAUACAUAUAUACAUAUAUUUAUA